GGCCUUUUAUAGCUAACUAUGCGGUAUGGGCUUUGCUCAUUGUUGAAGGCCAUAUGGUGACAUAUAGUUGUUAUUGUCUCUGUCAUUUUGGUCUCGUGUGGACAGUUGUCUCAUUGGCAAUCAUACCACAUCUUCUUUUUUAUAUGAACUGUAAAUCAUAAAAAAAUAUUUAUUGUGCAACCUGUCCCACUUGUAAUCAUAAGUACAUAGGUCAAACCAAUAGGCCAAUUGAUAAAGUGAGAGUUCACAAAGUGACAGCAGAUAAAGG
rnacentral:lncRNA from 1 species